rnacentral:rRNA from 1 species
GGUCCGUAGGCGGAUGAUUAAGUCAGGGGUGAAAGUUUGCAGCUCAACUGUAAAAUUGCCUUUGAUACUGGUUAUCUUGAGUUGUAUUGAAGUAGGCGGAAUAUGUAGUGUAGCGGUGAAAUGCAUAGAUAUUACAUAGAACACCAAUUGCGAAGGCAGCUUACUAAGUACUAACUGACGCUGAUGGACGAAAGCGUGGGUAGCGAACAGGAUUAGAUACCCUGGUAGUCCACGCCGUAAACGAUGGAUACUAGCUGUUCGGGGCCUUGAGCUCUGAGCGGCUAAGCGAAAGUGAUAAGUAUCCCACCUGGGGAGUACGUUCGCAAGAAUGAAACUCAAAGGAAUUGACGGGGGCCCGCACAAGCGGUGGAGCAUGUGGUUUAAUUCGAUGAUACGCGAGGAACCUUACCAGGGCUUAAAUGUAGUCUGACAGCUUUAGAGAUAGAGUUUUCUUCGGACAGAUUACAAGGUGCUGCAUGGUUGUCGUCAGCUCGUGCCGUGAGGUGUCAGGUUAAGUCCUAUAACGAGCGCAACCCCUGUCGUUAGUUGCCAGCAUGUCAUGAUGGGGACUCUAACGAGACUGCCCGGUGCAAAC